AGUUUCUUGUAGUGCAUCUUUUCCUAGCCUUUGAUUCACAGUAAUUUUACAUGAUCACAUUGUUAGCCUUACCAACUGUGUGACUUUUCCUGUUUAAGACAAAAAAUCUUGCUGGCCUCCUCACAUGGAUGAUUCUCAAUAAAAUAAGAAAAUUUGGAUAAUCAGCCUAUAGAAGCUCCUUGGUAAGGGUCUUUCAUCAUAAAGAUGGACUUUUUCUGUGUCCUUUGUUCCAAUCACACAGGAAAAUGACUCAGAAGGUUAUAAUUCAUCAUCACUACCCUUAUCAGGGUUAUCCCCAGGCCUAAAAUUUUCCUCUUCCAUCUCACAUCUCACCUUCAAAAAUUACCACAUUGGGUUAUCAAACAUGUUUAUAAAAUACAAACAUGAGUUAAGUGUAAAACAUAAGAGCAUAGUAAAAUUUAAAAAUCCCCCCAAACUCAUCAAUCACUGGAGAAAUCACUUUUAGUCUUUUUCAACCUAUGUUUUGCCAUGUUUGUAACCACAACAAAACUGGGGGCAGGAGGUGGGGCAGGGUGCAGCUGAGCCUUUAGAAUGAAAAUUAAAUUUCCCCUCAUUUUUAGUUAUACUAGCAAAGCUUGUUUGGUCCUGUGAGUCAUCCUGUAGUGCAUAAGGGGAGUUUAGGGGAAAUAGUUAG
rnacentral:lncRNA from 10 species